UGACCGCUGGCGGCGUGCUUAACACAUGCACGUCGAACGAUGAAGCCCAGCUUGCUGGGUGGAUUAGUGGCGAACGGGUGAGUAACACGUGAGUAACCUGCCCUUAACUCUGGGAUAAGCCUGGGAAACUGGGUCUAAUACCGGAUAGGAGCGUCCACCGCAUGGUGGGUGUUGGAAAGAUUUAUCGGUUUUGGAUGGACUCGCGGCCUAUCAGCUUGUUGGUGAGGUAAUGGCUCACCAAGGCGACGACGGGUAGCCGGCCUGAGAGGGUGACCGGCCACACUGGGACUGAGACACGGCCCAGACUCCUACGGGAGGCAGCAGUGGGGAAUAUUGCACAAUGGGCGCAAGCCUGAUGCAGCGACGCCGCGUGAGGGAUGACGGCCUUCGGGUUGUAAACCUCUUUCAGUAGGGAAGAAGCGAAAGUGACGGUACCUGCAGAAGAAGCACCGGCUAACUACGUG
rnacentral:rRNA from 1 species